CUGUUACAUUGGCAUCUCUGUGAGGACAGAUAGAGUCAUGACUUCCCGCUGGCCUACCCUACUCCCAGACACAAAGGCUAGAAUCCUAUCCCCAGCUGCUGGCCAGGAACACAGUGGAAAGAUCAGAGAAGAGGCCAGGGAGCACAUGGGAUGAGUACACAGAGGCCUGGCCUUGAAGAAUGUGGAUCAAAGCACAGCCAAAAUACGGUGGAGUUGUGGCCCUCCUAGCCUAGAAGACCCUCAGCAGAUGAGCCUCGCCUGAGAGCCUCAUGUGACAAGGGCCAGUGAUGAAGGUAGCUUAAGAUGGCUUCGUCCACAGCCUGUGCACAUAAGAAAGGGUCCAGAAGAGAAGAUGAACCUAAGGGUCCAUGAACUUCGGAUGGUAGCCACAGUGCAGUGGCCUACAGAGAGAAAGCAGUACAGCUAUGAGGACGGUUCAAAUGAGGCUUCCAUCGUGCUAGAUGGUACAUCCAGCAUCCAGGAAAGUCCUCCCUUGUGUGGACCGGAUGCAUCCUUGUUGAAGGAGGCUCUUUCGCCCCCUUCACAUCCCUGCUAGUCUAAGAUUGUCACCCUCUGUGCUGAAAUUAGGAGGGCAUGCAUGUGCAUGUGUGUCCAUGUGUGAGCUUGCUCAAUGAGAAGUCAGUGCCUGGAUUAGAGCCCUUUCAAAGCACCUAGAAGUUGACACACCGGAUAGUGAGAUAUGCAGUCAGGUGUGACCAUUACAUCCAGCAUUGUAUAUUACAAAGCCCAGUGGCCAGGGGGAGGAACGAGAGUGCUGUCUGAAAGCAUUAGGUUCAAUUUAUAUUUGUGUCAGGAGAAAUGUUCCACUGUGGUGCAGAUGACCAAGUAGUUAUGGACCCCUAGGUCAAAAUCAGAGAAAAGCUUACAGGAUUGGACACAUGGGCCCCUUUCUUCAGUGGCUCCAGGAUUUCUGCUAGGAAAUGCAUUCAGUGCUCUUGGUCCUUCCCAUUGGCCAUCCAUGCCCAGUCAUCGAUUCUCUAACUGAGUCUGAUGUUGGGUUUGGUCUUUGAGUCUGAAAUUUUUAGUCCUUAGUGCAUGGUCUCCUCUUAUUUAAAUGACUUCCUUCUCUCAGCCCAUUUGCUGUACUCUCUGAAUGGCAGCAAUAGGCUGUGUCA
rnacentral:lncRNA from 1 species